rnacentral:rRNA from 1 species
GACGAACGCUGGCGGCGUGCCUAAUACAUGCAAGUUGAGCGAUGAAGAUUGGUGCUCGCACCAAUUUGAAGAGCAGCGAACGGGUGAGUAACGCGUGGGGAAUCUGCCUUUGAGCGGGGGACAACAUUUGGAAACGAAUGCUAAUACCGCAUAACAACUUUAAACAUAAGUUUUAAGUUUGAAAGAUGCAAUUGCAUCACUCAAAGAUGAUCCCGCGUUGUAUUAGCUAGUUGGUGAGGUAAAGGCUCACCAAGGCGAUGAUACAUAGCCGACCUGAGAGGGUGAUCGGCCACAUUGGGACUGAGACACGGCCCAAACUCCUACGGGAGGCAGCAGUAGGGAAUCUUCGGCAAUGGACGAAAGUCUGACCGAGCAACGCCGCGUGAGUGAAGAAGGUUUUCGGAUCGUAAAACUCUGUUGGUAGAGAAGAACGUUGGUGAGAGUGGAAAGCUCAUCAAGUGACGGUAACUACCCAGAAAGGGACGGCUAACUACGUG